AACGGUAACAGGAGAAAGCUUGCUUUCUUGCUGACGAGUGGCGGACGGGUGAGUAAUGCUUGGGAAUCUGGCUUAUGGAGGGGGAUAACGACGGGAAACUGUCGCUAAUACCGCGUAGUGUCGAGAGACGAAAGUGCGGGACUGAGAGGCCGCAUGCCAUAGGAUGAGCCCAAGUGGGAUUAGGUAGUUGGUGGGGUAAAGGCCUACCAAGCCUGCGAUCUCUAGCUGGUCUGAGAGGAUGACCAGCCACACUGGAACUGAGACACGGUCCAGACUCCUACGGGAGGCAGCAGUGGGGAAUAUUGCGCAAUGGGGGGAACCCUGACGCAGCCAUGCCGCGUGAAUGAAGAAGGCCUUCGGGUUGUAAAGUUCUUUCGGUAUUGAGGAAGGUUGAUGUGUUAAUAGCACAUCAAAUUGACGUUAAAUACAGAAGAAGCACCGGCUAACUCCGUGCCAGCAGCCGCGGUAAUACGGAGGGUGCGAGCGUUAAUCGGAAUAACUGGGCGUAAAGGGCACGCAGGCGGUUAUUUAAGUGAGGUGUGAAAGCCCCGGGCUUAACCUGGGAAUUGCAUUUCAGACUGGGUAACUAGAGUACUUUAGGGAGGGGUAGAAUUCCACGUGUAGCGGUGAAAUGCGUAGAGAUGUGGAGGAAUACCGAAGGCGAAGGCAGCCCCUUGGGAAUGUACUGACGCUCAUGUGCGAAAGCGUGGGGAGCAAACAGGAUUAGAUACCCUGGUAGUCCACGCUGUAAACGCUGUCGAUUUGGGGGUUGGGGUUUAACUCUGGCGCCCG
rnacentral:rRNA from 1 species